UGCCAGCCGCCGCGGUAAUACGAAGGGACCUAGCGUAGUUCGGAAUUACUGGGCUUAAAGAGCUCGUAGGUGGUUAGAAAAGUUGGUGGUGAAAUCCCAAGGCUUAACCUUGGAACUGCCAUCAAAACUUUUUAACUUGAGUAUGAUAGAGGAAAGUGGAAUUUCUAGUGUAGAGGUGAAAUUCGUAGAUAUUAGAAAGAACACCAAUUGCGAAGGCAACUUUCUGGAUCAUUACUGACACUGAGGAGCGAAAGCAUGGGUAGCGAAGAGGAUUAGAUA
rnacentral:rRNA from 1 species